rnacentral:rRNA from 1 species
AACCUCAAGUCAAGUGAGAAUACCCGCUGAGCUUAA